AAAACCUUAUAUGGCAUAUUCUAUCUCCGUAUUUACAAAAGGAGUCGAAAAAUAUUGAAUUUCAUCCAUCCAUGAUGUUAAAACAUAUAAACUCCGUGAGUGAUUUGAUGAGAGCUAAAUGAAAUUAAAUGAAGUAAAGAGUUAUAAGAUGAGGUCCCCUCCAUAUUCUUUCCUGAACCAUUAUAUCACUUCAUGUGUCUCUUGCUUUCUUCUCAUUAAUACACUCACAGUAAUCACUUGGCUCCCU
rnacentral:lncRNA from 1 species